rnacentral:rRNA from 1 species
AUUGAACGCUGGCGGCAGGCCUAACACAUGCAAGUCGAACGAGUGGCGGACGGGUGAGUAAUGUCUGGGAAACUGCCUGAUGGAGGGGGAUAACUACUGGAAACGGUAGCUAAUACCGCAUACCAUCAGAUGUGCCCAGAUGGGAUUAGCUAGUUGGUGGGGUAACGGCUCACCAAGGCGACGAUCCCUAGCUGGUCUGAGAGGAUGACCAGCACCACUGGAAAGGAGACAAGGGCCAGACUCCUACGGGAGGCAGCAGGGGGGAAUAUUGUACAAGGGGGGCAAGCUUGAGGCAGCCAUGCCGCGUGUAUGAAGAAGGCCUUCGGGUUGUAAAGUACUUUCAGCGAGGAGGCGUUACCCGCAGAAGAAGCACCGGCUAACUCCGUGCCAGCAGCCGCGGUAAUAC